rnacentral:tRNA from 1 species
GCAGGAAUAGUCAAAUUUGUGACGUCGAAUUGCAAGCUCGAAGGUGCGGGAAUUUAACCGCUUUCUGCU